rnacentral:rRNA from 1 species
UUUUAUUUGAGAGUUUGAUCCUGGCUCAGGAUGAACGCUGGCGGCGUGCCUAACACAUGCAAGUUGAGCGAUUUACUUCGGUAAAGAGCGGCGGACGGGGGAGUAACGCGUGGGUAACCUACCCUGUACACACGGAUAACAUACCGAAAGGUAUGCUAAUACGGGAUAAUAUAUUUGAGAGGCAUCUCUUGAAUAUCAAAGG